AAAUUGAAGAGUUUGAUCAUGGCUCAGAUUGAACGCUGGCGGCAGGCCUAACACAUGCAAGUCGAGCGGUAGCACAGAGAGCUUGCUCUCGGGUGACGAGCGGCGGACGGGUGAG
rnacentral:rRNA from 1 species